AUCCAAAGCGCAAUCCCUGACCUCAGGCAGCUCACAGUCCAGUGGGGAAGCCGAGAAGCAAAUUAAUGACUCUGAAGAAGCGCAGGAGCAGAACCCUGCUGGAGAGGGAAGCUGGUACCAACAGCCCCAGAUGCCUCCCCGAAAGGGGAAGGACCCCAAAGGAGUGGGCCACUCACGGACUCAUGGCGGUAAAUCUUGACCAUGCAAUCAACGAUGCCCCGAUGGACGGGACAGAAGGCAGUGCCGGGCAGCCCGGCCCCGCUGAGCGAUCCCACCGAAGCAGCGUGUCCUCCGUGGGAGCCCGAGCGGCUGACGUGCUGGUAUACCUAGCGGAUGACACGGUGGUGCCCCUGGCUGUGGAGAACCUGCCCUCGCUCAGUGCCCAUGAGCUGCACCGCGCUGUCCGCGAGGUCCUGCAGCUUCCAGACAUCGCCCUGGAUGUCUUCGCGCUCUGGCUGGUCUCCCCUCUGCUGGAGGUGCAGCUGAAACCCAAGCACCAGCCCUACAAGCUGGGACGCCAGUGGCCGGAGCUGCUGCUGCGCUUCACCAGUGCCCCAGACGAUGACGUGGCCAUGGAUGAGCCUUUCCUGCAGUUCCGAAGGAACGUGUUCUUCCCAAAGCGGCGGGAGCUCCAGAUCCAUGACGAGGAGGUCCUGCGGCUGCUCUAUGAGGAGGCCAAGGGCAACGUGCUGGCUGCACGGUACCCGUGCGACGUGGAGGACUGCGAGGCUCUGGGCGCCCUGGUGUGCCGCGUGCAGCUUGGGCCCUACCAGCCCGGCCGGCCGGCAGCCUGCGACCUGAGGGAGAAGCUGGACUCCUUCCUCCCUGCCCACCUCUGUAAGCGGGGCCAGAGUCUCUUUGCUGCCCUCCGGGGCCGUGGGGCCAGGGCCGGGCCGGGCGAGCAGGGCCUGCUGAACGCCUACCGCCAGGUGCAGGAGGUCAGCAGCGACGGCGGGUGCGAGGCCGCCCUGGGCACCCACUACCGCGCCUAUCUCCUCAAGUGCCACGAGCUGCCGUUUUAUGGGUGUGCCUUCUUCCACGGUGAGGUUGACAAGCCGGCCCAAGGCUUUUUGCACCGGGGUGGGCGCAAGCCAGUUUCUGUGGCCAUCAGUCUGGAAGGCGUGCACGUCAUCGAUAGCAGAGAGAAGCAUGUCCUGCUGGGCCUGCGCUUCCAGGAGCUGUCGUGGGACCACACCUCCCCCGAGGAGGAGGAGCCCAUCUUGUGGCUGGAGUUCGACGGGGACAGCGAGGGCACACCUGUCAACAAGCUCCUCAAGAUCUACUCCAAGCAGGCCGAACUGAUGAGCAGUCUCAUUGAGUACUGCAUCGAACUGAGCCAGGCGGCGGAGCCCGCAGGCCCCCAGGACAGUGCGACUGGCUCGCCCUCGGACCCCAGCUCCUCACUGGCUCCUGUUCAGCGCCCCAAGCUGCGGAGGCAGGGCAGUGUGGUGUCCAGCCGGAUCCAGCAUCUCUCCACCAUCGACUACGUGGAGGACGGCAAGGGGAUCAGGCGAGUGAAGCCGAAGCGCACCACAUCCUUCUUCAGCCGGCAGCUGUCCUUGGGCCAGGGGAGCUACACCGUGGUGCAGCCCGGCGACAGCCUGGAGCAGGGCUGAGGACGCUGCACCCGGCAGGAGGAGGGCGACUGGGGGCCCUGGCCCGGCACUGUCCUCCUGAGGGGCAGGCGCCGGCUGCAACAGUCUCAUGGGUCACCACGUGGGGAGGGCUGCCUCAGCAGGUUUCUCAGACCACGGAGAAGUGACUUUUGGGCCCGGGGCCAUGCCCGGGCUGUGCAAAGCUGGCCAGGGCCUCCUGUAGGGCUCCUCUGCAGCCUGCCCUCCCUUCCCCCGGAUGCUGGGCCCUGCUGCUCUCUCAGGACCAUCCGAUCAAGCUGCAGCUGCCACCCUCACCUAGAAACAUGCCUUUGUGCCCACCUCAAGAUGGGCAGUGUCCCUGUUCUGAAGUGCCCAGUGGCAGCUCCAGUGGUAGAGGACCAAGGAUUGAGGUUUGGGACCUGAAGCUCCAGUGUGUGCCUUUGGCCUCUUCCCUGGACUUGGGUGACCAGUCUCCGUCUUCCUCCUGCUAGUGCUCCACCCCCCGGACUUGGAUGACCAGUUUCCCACCUUCCUCCUGCUGGUGCUCCAUCCCCCAAUACCAGGCUGGGCCACCACUCUGAGGAGGGUAGGAGGGGCCUCCCUGGAUUGAACCGGGACAGAAACACGGUGAGGGCCCCCACCACACCUCCCUGGUUGAAUCAGGAAUGGAGGGAGCCAGGCAGGGCCCUACCUGGGGUCCUGUGCCCCUCGUUCUGGUCUCCUUUGCAGGCACGAGAUACCAGAAAGAGCAUGCCUUUCUGAUAGCCUUUGGUGAUGUCACUGCUGGGAGGUGGCUAUCCUGUGGACCACCUGGCCUCCAGACCCACACUCACAGUCUGUGAAAAACUGAAAAUCCCCUGGUGGGCACUCCCUGGAGCCCAAGCAGCUCCCCUAGGGGACUGACCGGACCUGACCUCCCCUCCCUGUGUCUGGGUCUUCAGGUUUUAGUUUGGUCUUUGUUCAUCUGAGUUGUGCUGGGGCAACGCCAGGAAGUGCCCUGGGUACCUCUGCUGUGCGCUCCUUCCCAGGUGGCGCCAUGGAUUCCUCUGGGGGCUGGCGCAUGCCCAGGAAAGCCUGGGCCACACGGGACACUCUCUUCUUUAUCGAGGACACUUGGAAAGGUGACUGAUAUGGGUGCUUGGCUUCUCUGGUCCCAGCUUGCCCUCCGGGGAGCAGGGGCUCUGUCUUGUCCCAGAUGAGCUGAGAGCCCCUGAGAGGAGGGCUUUCCCAGCCCUGGGACCCUCCGAGGUGGGUGUGCGGGUCUCACAGGUGCUUCCUGGGACUUCCUGUGGCUGCACAGGGCUUGGCUUUGUCUUCGUUCCCGGUGGAAAACCGUGGGAGAGGAAGCUUGGGCCUCUACUCCAAGUAUCAGAGCCUGUUCACCCUCCUCCCUUUGGUAGCUUGUGAAUGUGCCAGGUGUUUCGAGGUAGGCUUGCCUUCUGGCAGCAUGGACUUUGUUAAAAUAAUAGGCGGAAAGAAGAGGCCUGGGAAGGGCCCCCAGUCUUUUGGAAUGUCCUGGUCACAGGGUCAUGUCAGCUGCCAGUUCUCGUCUCCCGUCCUGGAGUUGCUCGGUCUUGCGGAGCUGCCCGCCUGCCUGUUCUGGCGGCUCCAGCGCAGGCUGUCCCUGCUGCUUUGAUUCCAGGUGAUUUUAUUUUUUUUAUUUUUUUAUUUUUUUUGAGACGGAGUCUUGCUCUGUUGCCCAGGCAGGAGUGCAGUGGCGCAUCUCGGCUCACUGCAACCUCUGUCUCAAGCGAUUCUCCUGCCUCAGCCUCCUGAGUAGCUGGGAUUACAGGUGCAUGCCACCAGGCCCCGCUGAUUUUUGUAUUUUUAGUAGAGAUAGGGUUUCACCAUGUUGGUCAGGCUGGUCGUGAACUCCUGACCUCAUGAUCUGCCCGCCUCAACCUCCCAAAGUGCUGGGAUUAUAGGCGUGAGCCACCGCCCCCAGCUGAUUCCAGGCGAAUUCUUCUCUGAUGGGCGGGCGAGGGUGUGUUCGUGUGAUGGGUUGGAGUGUGUGUGUCUGAGUACACAGAUGAUGUGUUUUCCCUUCAGCUUCUUACGUUUUCUGAGCAUCCAUUGUGCCUUAACAUUUUCUGCUUGUCCUUUGGGACAAAGCAGUAUUUUACUCAUUCUUUGAAUGUUCUCAUUCUUUUGUAUCAUGUGACUUAUUAAAAUCAGUUUCUAACAAACUCUGGGGCAGCUCAUGAUAUGAAAUAAUGAGGGUGUGUCCGUGACAGUCCAAGAGUUGAUUACAGGCUGCAUGUUUGGUUUUCAUGAAACGUACGUCAAGGUGUGCAGCCCUCAGGCCAGCCAGGUUGAUGCCCACGGAGCACCCGAGUGAAGCUGUCUCAUCUUGGCGGCUUGUACUCCCAGCCCCACGUUGCCCAGGAGGGGCUCUGGGGUUCCUGUGGGGACCAAGGUGGGUAACUGCAGAUGCUCAUGCCCUUCCUGAGGGCACCUCAUGCUCCAGGCCUGGCAGGAGGCCGUUUGUUUCCCACAGAUCCUGCUGUCAACACCUACCUGGGAGGGAAGGGACAGUAGCAGACCCCUGGAGGACUCUGAGCCCUGCAGCAGCCACCCAGGACCUGGGCCUGCAGGAUGAGCGCCACUGGGGGAUUGGGGUUCACAAUGUUUCCAGAGAUGGGAGGAGUAAGCCACCUGUCCCUGUGGCAGCGUAGUCCUGGGAACAGGGCCGUCUCCUUGGGUGUCCAUGACAGUGAGUGGCACCUUGUCCUCUGUGUGAUCAUCUUUGCCUGGCAAGGCAGCACAAUGCCAUGACCAUGGGCACCUGUGACCUUUCGUGGGAAUAACAGUGCCCAGGCCAGGCACAGUGGCUUGCUACUGUAAUCCCAGCACUUUGGGAGGCCAAGGCGGGAGGGUCACUUGAGCCUAGCCUGGGCAACAUGGCGAAACCCCAUUGCUACAAAAACAAAAAAAAUUAGCCAGGCAUGGUGGCACAAGCCUGUCGUGCCCAGCUGCUUGGGAAGCUGAGACUAGAGGAUCGCCUGGGCCCAGGAGGUCGAGGAUACAGCGAGCUGUGUUCACACCACUGUGCACUCCAGCCUGGGCAACAGAGCAAGACCCUGUCUCGAAAAAAAAAAAAAAAUUCCGAAAAAACAACUCACUUCGGCCAGGUGCAGUGGCUCACGCCUGUAAACCCAGCACUUUGGGAGGCCAAGGCGGGCGGAUAACCUGAGGUCGGGAGUUUGAGACCAGCCUGACCAACGUGGAGAAGCCCUGUCUCUACUAAAAAUACAAUAUUAGCUAGGCAUGGUGGCGCAUGCGUGUAAUCCCAGCUACUGGGGAGGCUGAGGCAGGAGAAUCGCUUGAACCCGGGAGGCGGAGGUUGCAGUGAGCCGAGAUCGUGCCAUUGCACUCCAGCCUGGGUGACAGAGCAAAACUCUGUCUCAAAAAAAAAAAAAAAGUAAACUGAUUGUCUCACAGUUCUGGGGGCUACAAGUCCAAAAUCCAGGUUUCAGCUCAGCAGGGCCGUGCUCCCUCUGCAACCCAUAGGAGAGGCCUUCCUUGCCUGCUCCUAGCUUCUGGUGCCUUGCUGGCCGUUCAGGCAUUCAUUGGCUUGCGGCUGCACAGCCAGUCUCUGCCUAUGUGGUCAUCUGGCAUCUUCCUUAGUGUCUGUGUCUUCACAUGGCUGUGUUCUUACAAAGACACCAGUCAGAUUAGACUAGGGGCCCACCCUACUCCACCAUGAGCUCAUCUUAACUAAUAACACCUGCAAUGAUCCUGUUCCCACAUCAUGUCACAUUCUGAUGCACUGAGGGUUAGGACUUCGACAUAUCCUUUUGGGGGAACACGAUUUAACCCUUACCACUACCCUACAGAUGAUUGUCUUGGACUUCUUUGGGGUUCUUUAAUGCCGGAACAGCUGUUAUUUUCAAAUCCUAGCUACGCUUGGGUUGCACGGGGCAGCAGGAGUGACUUUGCCACCUGCCAGCCUGGCACGCACAGCCUGGCUCAGCCAGCACCUGGAUCCAGAGGCCUGAAGACCUGAAGAGGCUCUGCCCAGACUGCCCCUGAGGACAGUGCAGUGGGACGAGGUCUUCACAGUCCCCAGUCCCCAGACUCUCCCUAACUCUUCAGAAUGCAGGAAGCAGAGGUGACCAGAACAGUCAACACAUGCGAUCCUACUGUCCCUUCUGAGGCUGGGGUUUCCAGGUCAUUCUCCACUUACAGCAGCAGCUGGGGCAUUCCUGCGGGCUUCCCAACCCGGGGCUAGCUGGACACAGGAGGCUCCAGCCACAACCAGAGCCCAGCAAGAGGCUUGCGCAGACCCACAGCUGAGGCUUCAUGUGGCCAGCCCCCAGCCAAGUGGCAGUGCAUGGAGAGACACACGGGAGGCCAGAGGUGCUGCUGGGACUCAGAAAAGCCACAGCGACCAAGGCGACCCAGGACGCUGUCAUGCUCAGUCUGAAAAAACAGUGGUGCAAGGGGCACAGAUAAAGCUGGGAAGGAGAGGGCUGGGGUGGAUGUGCCAGGGGCCUCUGACACUUGUCAGGGAGCAGGAGUUCCAACUGCUCCCCGCACACAGGGUUGCAGGAUUAGCAACAGAGUUACCCAUGGAGACAUCAGCUCAGAGUCCAGGCAGCUUUUCAGAUGACACCGGGGAUAAGAACAUAAAGACCAGGAAAAUGGGUCACUUUGCACACACAUGAUGCCCCAACAGAUGUGCAGGCCACCACCCAACACAAAGACAGACAAUAGACUGGGAGGGGGAGCAGUGAUCAAACAAGGCUUCCUGGAGGAGGGGGCCUGACAGGCUCAGUAGGAUACAGGUAAAUGCAGCAAAGAGAGAGGGCAUGGGAUGGAGCAGGGACAGUCAACCAAAGCCUGUGACUUUGAGCCUAAGGGACACUGACAGUGCUGACCCAAAGGAGGUGCAGGCCUCGGGACAGAUUCUCAUCGCUCAUUCUUCUCCUUUGUGCAGAGGACUUUUAGAGCUACCUGGCAUUUUUCUCCCUGUCCAAAUCCACCCCACAUUUCAAAGAAAGUAGGCAGACUACCCAACUUCACCCAGAAUGGGGGUGCAGGGCUGGGCCUGGGUCUGAGGACUUCAGUUUUAAGCAGCAAGUCCAGUGCCGUGUGGUGGCCCGGCUCCUCUCGCCCCCACUGGGCGGACAGCGUGGGUGGGGCGGAGCCUACUCCCAUCUGCAGGUUGCUGGUUCGGCUGCGGCCAGCAGGGGGCAGCUGAGCUCACCCUUUCCUCCUGCCGGGCUGCAGGGACAGUGACAGUGAGCAGCACUGCCCGCCCAGGCAACCUGGAACCAGGGUCGUGCCCCACGACAGAAUCUCGGGGGCCUUGGGUCUGGCGCUGCGGGCUCACCCGCUCUCAGAGUGGGAGUCCUGGCUCCUGACUGCCCUGACCUUCUUCCUGCCACUGGGCCCAUGAUGGGGGUCCCCAACUUUCAAGAACACAGGGUAAGGGGUUUGUUUCCCUGGUGGUGGGCGGGGGCAUUCCUCAGCUUCGUGAUGGGUCCUGAGUUUUCCAAAGGUCAGGAUCCAUGUCCUGGAAACGGAUUCUGCUGUAGAUGUGUGCUUUUCUGUGAAAUGACAGCUUAGUAAAAAUACUUAAACUGGGGCUAUUUGGAGACAUCUAAGAGGUGGAGUGAGCACAACCUGGCACUAGUCGCCUCCCUCCUGAGGCAGUUGACUGUCCGGCCUCUGCCCCUGGGCCCUUCCUCCUUCCCAGCUGCCCUGAGCCCUCUUCCAGCACCUCCUGUCCCCACCUCACACACUAAGUCUUCCUGCUAUUUUUAACUAUUUGACAUAAUUUGCAAAAGAGAGAAUAAUAGUCCCAGCUCUUCCCAAGGACUUCUUUGUCCGGUGCCCAUCUGACCUUGGCACUUUGUUGUGGGGGUGGCAGUGACCCUGACAAGUUCUCCCAGCCAGCGAGAGCACAGGCCUCCCAUACAGUAUCGUCAAGGUCAGCAGCCUCCCGGGCAGGGGGGUUCUACUCCCCGCAGAAGCCCUGGCACCAUGGCCAACUUGCUCACAGAGGGCACUCAGUCAGACCAAGGUGGGUUGGGGCAGAAAAGGCUCCUUCAGAGAUUCAAGGACAGUCACAACUGGUGCUGUGAUGGGGCCACCGGGACAAGCACAGUGCAGGCCAUUCCCAUCAGCAGGGACCCAAGAGGAAGUGGUAGGCUCUGGCAGUGGGGGCGGCUGGCGGUCCUGAAGACAGAGGGCUUUGCAAACCUAGGGGUGGAGGUAGUGGGAUGUCAGCACCUGGGCUCCCUGCUCAGAGGAGCUGGCGCCAGGAUUCCCAGUGGGUGGGCUUGGGGAGGAGGCUGGAAAGGUUAGCACAGGCGAAAGUGUGGGGCCUAGGAAAGCUGGGCUCGCUUAUUUGGCCAAGGAGGGUGGGGAGGGUUGGAGGAGGUCUAGGGGCCGCUGGAGGUGCAGGGCAGCCCGGGGAGGCAGGGCUAUGGGGCCCAGCCACGCAUUCCACAGGCCUUCUCUCUGCGGGAACAGGAGUGAGGACACAGGCGCUCAGCGUGGCAGGGUGGGAACAGGAAGGUCUCGUGAGCUCUGUGACAGGAUGGGGCUACAGGAGACAGAGGUAGCAGUGAGCUGGUGAAGAGGCAGGAGGAGGCAAGGAGGACAGGGUGUUCUAGGGUGCCAGCUCAGGCAAGGCUCCAAGGAGUGGGUGAGUGCUCAGGAGGACGGGGGACCAAGGCCUGGGGUAAGGGGCAGGUGCCCAGGCACUCUAGCAUGGCACGGAACAGGGGACAGUCCCAGGACAUCCGGAUGCAGGGGGCUGACACCGCAAAGUUCUUUCCUGUAAAGCACAGCCCGAGGCCUGGGGCUUGGCCCUGGGCAGAGGAAGCCCCCCUUAGAUCUGCCUUGGCAGUAGUGAGGAAAGGGCGUGCACAGACCCCACGCAGCCCGAGGUGACGGGUCAAAUGCAAGAGUGAGAAGCCCCCUCCUGAGGGUCCUCCCCUGCCUCGCCUUCCUGGUGGGCGGCCUGCUUUCCAGCACAUGUGGUGGACCAGCCCACAUUAGGUCAAAGUGUUAAAAAUAGCCGGAGGGCUCAGUAUGUUUGGGGGUGGGGGGGGAAUGGGAGGUGCUGAGGGAGGGCCCAGGACAGUUGGGAAGGAGGAAGGGCCCGUGGGGCUGGGGUUGGGACAGUCGGCUCCUGUAGGUGCAGCAGCCCUGGGGCAUGCUCACCUCACCUCACCUCAGCUUUGUAAACCAGGGCCAUGGGAGACCCCCUCCCUCUGAUGCCCUCUCCCUCAAAUGCCUUUGCCAACGUGUGGCUGAGAGUGCACCCCAGUUCCCCUUGGCCACCCCAGGCAGUCCCAGUCCACUGAGAGCAGCCGCUGUCCUUCUUCCCUCUCCUGCCUCCUGACCUGGGACCCCACAGAGCUGGGCCUGUCAUCACAUUUAUGGGGCUGCAGCUGACCUGGGAACUCCCUUCCUCAGUCAGUCCACAAAUAUUUACCCAGAGCCUCAGGGUGCUCAGUGACCUUUACAAAACAAAGUGCAGAGUCACGUGCCAGGGCACAGCAAUCCCGGGCAAAACAGACCGAAACCCCUCCCUCGAGGAGAUCAAGUUGGGGCGGCGCUUUAGAGUUGUGGUCAGGAGGCUGGCUGAGUGGUGACCUUAGGGCAGAGGCCUGAAGGAGCAGUGGAAGUGGACUAGGCAGCAACUAGGUGAAGAGUGUUCCAGGAAACACUACACUGUCAGAAUCAAGAGAUGUUAGGGCCGAGAGGAGCCUCAAAAUGGGGGAAGCAAGGCUGGGAGGGGUGGCCUACCCUGGUCACAUGAGAGGUGGGGGCAGAGCAGGCCGGAGCCUCACAGGAAGAGGCCGGUUAGAGUUGGGGGUGGGGCCCAGCUUGUGUUUCCUGCACUGGCUGCGAGGCGUGAAAGGCGGGCUCCCGGCCAGCACACAGUGACAGUGCAGUUUCCAGACCCAGGCCCUGAGCUGAGGGGCCUCAGGGCUCAGAAAGGGCCUAGGCCUCAGAUCUCUGGUGAGCGGGGAGCCCAAAAUGGCCCUGGAGGCCACAGCUCCAGAACUAGACCCGUGGAGAAUGGAGGGCUGGGGCCCUGCACAUUCUCAAGCAGUAGUAGCAACACUGUCAUUGUCCUGCCCUUGGUAUAAGCCUGAAGAACCACCCUUUCUUACCCGGCUUCUGCUCCCCUUUUCCAGGGGCUCCUGUGGGAAAUCCCGGGUACUUCCUGGGACUGGUCUGUCUAUAUGUUUGGAAACCACAGAGCUGACCUGGCUUCAGAACAAGAUGUGGGGCUCCAGGCACCCGGGAGACCAGUGACCCUGAUUGGCAAUAGCCGCAAGAAAGGGCUUGGAGACAGGGGCCAGGCGCGGUGGCUACCCCUGUAAUCGCAGCACUUUGGGAGGUCAAGGCAGGUGGAUCACUUGAGGUCAGGAGUUGGAGACCAGCCUGGCCAAUGUGGUAAAACCCUGUCUCUACUAAAAAUACAAAAAAAAAAAAAAAAAAUUAGCCAAUGUGGUGGUGUAAGCCUAUAGUCCCAGCUACUCGGGAGGCUGAGGCAGGAAAAUCACUUGAACCCAGGAGGGAGGGUGCAGUGAGCAGAGAUCACACCACUGCACUCCAGCCUGGGCAACAGAGUGAGACUCCAUCAAAAAAAAAAAGAAAAGAAAGAAAGGGCUUGGAGACAGGGCCCUAACCCUGGAAUCCAGAUGUUGCCAAAGCAGCCCCCUCCUGUUCCUCUGUCUGCCUGGGAAGAAGCAGGAGUUGGCCACCCACACAGGCAGGGCGGGCCCUUCACCACCCAGCUCCACCCCGGAAUCCAAGGGCCUCUGUUUGCUGCUGUUUUCUGGAACAACUUGUUUUGAUCUAGAGAAAUCUGCUGACACCGGCCUUCCUGCUCUCACCCUCCAGCUGGGCAGAGGUAUUUUUAGACUUAUUUGUAGAGGAAGAGAGCAGAACCCAGGCCCAAUGUGUACCCUCCUUACUGUGGGCACAGCUUUGGCCCCUUAAGGCAGGACAGAGAUAUCCAUGUGGUUGUCUACCCUCAGCUCAUCUCUCCUUAAAUACAUUCCUUUCCCGAGAAAAACGAGCUGUGUGGAACUUGGAGGCCAGCAAAGCUUCUACAUAAGGACCCUCUGAAACAGUGCCCUUUUGUCCUUGAAAACCCAGGGUGGCAAAGGCAGCUCCAGAUACAAGGGCACAAAGGAGACUUGGUUCCCUUUGUGACAGGGAAGCCUAUGCUUUACAGAAUCCUAUGUUUUGUAUGUCAGUAAUUGUCCCUACUUAAAAAAAAAUCUAUAUAUAUAUAUGUAUUAGAAAGGGUCUCACUCUUGUUGGCCAGCCUGGAGUGCAGUGGCACAAUCAUAGCUCACUGCAGCCUCAAAAUCCUAGGCUCAAGGGAUCCUGCUGCCUCAGUCUCCCCAGUAGCUGAGACUACAGGCAGUCAUGUGCACCUGGCUUUUUUUUUUUUUUUUCUUUCAUUUUUUGUAGAGACAGGGUCUUGCUGUGUUUCCCAGGCUGGUCUCGAACUCCUGGCCUCUAGGCAAUCCUCCCACCAUGGCCUUCAAAAGCGAAUGGAUCCCACUCUUUUUUGAAAAAUAAAAUCUACCAUAGUUUGUUUCUGGGAUUUGGGAAUGAUGUGUGUGAAUUAGAGAGAUUUCGAGACCUGAAAUAGAGAAAAGCAAGUUAAGACAUCAACUGGGGCCCAGAAACAGCACUACAGCGGGGACGACCCACCUCUCAGAUGCCUGGUGAGAUAAAGAAAGGUCUGGCUGACUCCACUGCCCAGUACUGUGAAGCAGCAGUGAAGACUCCUCCAUUGGUUUCAUAAGCUGCCCAGCUUUCUAGAACAUUUUGACAGACAAUUCCCUCUUUCCACACGGUUCUUUCAGGCCAAAUCACCCCACCCCAACCCACCCCUGGAGAUACAGUCAGGAAGAGACUGAUGGGGCAGAUCCUGGAGGAGGCCGCACUGCCGGAAUCUUCCCCUGGCAGAGAAACAGGGCUAAGCAGGCGCCAGGGAGCAAGCCUGGGCUUGCCACAUCACCACCUUCUGUGCUGAAGGUCAGAUGACACACAGUCACCAGUUUUCCGAGAAGCACAGGGAGGGGUGCAUGUCAGGCCCAGCCCUGCCUGCUGAUACCACCUCACAGACGCAGGCGAAAUGUCUUCACCAGCUUCUUCUCGGUUGCCAAGGGGGCCUGCUUUCAAGGGGUUGUUUUGUAUGGGGUGUGGGUGUUAACCAGGGAGAGGUUCCUGGCAGGAGUUCCUGUCAGAUGCCAUUUUCCAUUCUGGUUACUUGAACCGGGGUCCUUUUUCAUCCUCUACCUCAGGGGCCAGAGCUUCCUCAUCACCCUGCACCCCCUAGCAAGGGAGGUGCCCGCUACACGGUCCAAAGUCCUCUCCAGACAUUCGGGCCCUGCCCGCCUUGCUGGAGGGCUCAGGAGUUCACCAGGUUUGCUUCCAGAAGAGCCAGGCUGGGGAUGCCUGCUUGCAAAUGCAGCAAAUAAAAAAUAAAUAAAUAAAUAAAAAUCACCUUUCUCCCCACCCCCACCCAAAUGUAAAAUGAGCCGACAGCCUGUCCCUCGGCUAUGUCAGAUACUGCUUUCCGCACAAUAUCUUGGUUUUACAUUAUUUUGCAACGGCCUCUUCCCACUUAAUCCAUCCUGAACACACUUCUUGAAUGUUCUACCCCGGCAGGGAUGCGCAUUCUCAGGAAACACGUCCCCUCGCCAGGCCCCUGGGAAGAGUCAAAACCACGAUGCCUGCCCCUGAAGCGCCCGCGCGGCUCCACGGGGCUCCAUGUUGUCACCCACUAGCUCCUGGACGCUAUCAGCCCGCAGCAGGGUUUCCUGGCCAGAGAAACCGCCUGUUGGGGUGCGGAGCGUUCCACGUCCCCUCGCAGCACCCCGCUGGCCUUCUGGGCCGCCCCGCCCCCAACCCGCGCCCGGGCGCUGACGUCAUCGGCCGAGCCCGACUCGGAACCACCGCCCGAAAGUCACGCGCGCCUCCCGGCGGGACGUGCCCUCUGCAGAGAUCCCUCCGCCGCCGCCUGGAAUUUUCCAGAUGUCCUGCCGGCCCUUCUUUCGGGCCUCGGCUGGGCGUGGUGACCUCAAGCGACCCCGGCGGCUCCCGUCGCCCACUCAAGAGGGCGCCCCCGCCCGCCACGCCCCCAGCCCCUCUCGGGGAAGCGCGUCCCCCGCCCGACCUCAACAACAUCCGGGAAGAAAAGGGGUCUUCUUCCUCAUGGCAUUCGCCUCCCAAAUGUCACCUUGAGCGCUGUCCGCGAUCCCAAAAAGCACUGUUAAAGAGAAGCGGGGAUACACUGGGGUCCUUGCGUGGGGGCCGCCUGGGAGACCAUGCACCGCCCGGGAGUCUCUCCGGGCAGGGUCGGGGAGGGACUUUUUUGCCGGUGGCCGUGGAGGAAUCGUCCCGUUGAGCAAUGACCCCGGUGACGCGGCUGAGGGCUAUAAAAGCAAAAGUUGUGGCAAGUCCAGCCGGAGUUAGCGACAGGGAGGGAUGCGCGCCUGGGUGUAGUUGUGGGGGAGGAAGUGGCUAGCUCAGGGCUUCAGGGGACAGACAGGGAGAGAUGACUGAGUUAGAUGAGACGAGGGGGCGGGCUGGGGGUGCGAGAAGGAAGCUUGGCAAGGAGACUAGGUCUAGGGGGACCACAGUGGGGCAGGCUGCAUGGAAAAUAUCCGCAGGGUCCCCCAGGCAGAACAGCCACGCUCCAGGCCAGGCUGUCCCUACUGCCUGGUGGAGGGGGAACUUGACCUCUGGGAGGGCGCCGCUCUUGCAUAGCUGAGCGAGCCCGGGUGCGCUGGUCUGUGUGGAAGGAGGAAGGCAGGGAGAGGUAGAAGGGGUGGAGGAGUCAGGAGGAAUAGGCCGCAGCAGCCCUGGAAAUGAUCAGGAAGGCAGGCAGUGGGUGCAGGGCUGCAGGAGGGCCGGGAGGGCUAAUCUUCAACUUGUCCAUGCCAGCAGCCCCUUUUUUUCCAGACCAAGGGCUGUGAACCCGCCUGGGGAUGAGGCCUGGUCUUGUGGAACUGAACUUAGCUCGACGGGGCUGACCGCUCUGGCCCAGGGUGGUGGCAGUGCUCCUUUUGGACUUUUCUCUAGGUUUGGCGCUAAACUCUUCUUGUGAGCUCACUCCACCCCUUCUUCCUCCCUUUAACUUAUCCAUUCACUUAAAACAUUACCUGGUCAUCUGGUAAGCCCGGGACAGUAAGCCGAGUGGCUGUUGGAGUCGGUAUUGUUGGUAAUGGUGGAGGAAGAGAGGCCUUCCCGCUGAGGCUGGGGUGGGGCGGAUCGGUGUUGCUUGCCUGCAGAGAGGGUGGGGAGUGAAUGUGCACCCUUGGGUGGGCCUGCAGCCAUCCAGCUGAAAGUUACAAAAAUGCUUCAUGGACCGUGGUUUGUUACUAUAGUGUUCCUCAUGGCGAGCAGAUGGAACCGGGAGACAUGGAGUCCCUGGCCAGUGUGAGUCCUAGCAUUGCAGGAGGGGAGACCCUGGAGGAGAGAGCCCGCCUCAAUUGAUGCCUGCAGAUUGAAUUUCCAGAGGCUUAGGAGGAGGAAGUUCUCCAAUGUUCUGUUUCCAGGCCUUGCUCAGGAAGCCCUGUAUUCAGGAGGCUACCAUUUAAAGUUUGCAGAUGAGCUUAUGGGGGGCAAUCUUAAAAAGUCCACAGCAGAUGCAUCCGGCUCGAGGGGCCAUCAGCUUUGAAUAAAUGCUUGUUCCAGAGCCCAUGAAUGCCAGCAGGCACCCCUCCUUUCCUGGGGUAAAGGUUUUCAGAUGCUGCAUCUUCUAAAUUGAGCCUCCGGUCAUACUAGUUUUGUGCUUGGAACCUUGCUUCAAGAAGAUCCCUAAGCUGUAGAACAUUUUAACGUUGAUGCCACAACGCAGAUUGAUGCCUUGUAGAUGGAGCUUGCAGAUGGAGCCCCGUGACCUCUCACCUACCCACCUGUUUGCCUGCCUUCUUGUGCGUUUCUCGGAGAAGUUCUUAGCCUGAUGAAAUAACUUGGGGCGUUGAAGAGCUGUUUAAUUUUAAAUGCCUUAGACUGGGGAUAUAUUAGAGGAAGCAGAUUGUCAAAUUAAGGGUGUCAUUGUGUUGUGCUAAACGCUGGGAGGGUACAAGUUGGUCAUUCCUAAAUCUGUGUGUGAGAAAUGGCAGGUCUAGUUUGGGCAUUGUGAUUGCAUUGCAGAUUACUAGGAGAAGGGAAUGGUGGGUACACCGGUAGUGCUCUUUUGUUCUUGCUUCGUUUUUUUAAACUUGAACUUUACUUCGUUAGAUUUCAUAAUACUUUCUUGGCAUUCUAGUAAGAGGACCCUGAGGUGGGAGUUGUGGGGGACGGGGAGAAGGGGACAGCUUGGCACCGGUCCCGUGGGCGUUGCAGUGUGGGGGAUGGGGGUAUGCAGCUUGGCACUGGUACUGGGAGGGAUGAGGGUGAAGAAGGGGAGAGGGUUGGUUAGAGAUACAGUGUGGGUGGUGGGGGUGGUAGGAAAUGCAGGUUGAAGGGAAUUCUCUGGGGCUUUGGGGAAUUUAGUGCGUGGGUGAGCCAAGAAAAUACUAAUUAAUAAUAGUAAGUUGUUAGUGUUGGUUAAGUUGUUGCUUGGAAGUGAGAAGUUGCUUAGAAACUUUCCAAAGUGCUUAGAACUUUAAGUGCAAACAGACAAACUAACAAACAAAAAUUGUUUUGCUUUGCUACAAGGUGGGGAAGACUGAAGAAGUGUUAACUGAAAACAGGUGACACAGAGUCACCAGUUUUCCGAGAACCAAAGGGAGGGGUGUGUGAUGCCAUCUCACAGGCAGGGGAAAUGUCUUUACCAGCUUCCUCCUGGUGGCCAAGACAGCCUGUUUCAGAGGGUUGUUUUGUUUGGGGUGUGGGUGUUAUCAAGUGAAUUAGUCACUUGAAAGAUGGGCGUCAGACUUGCAUACGCAGCAGAUCAGCAUCCUUCGCUGCCCCUUAGCAACUUAGGUGGUUGAUUUGAAACUGUGAAGGUGUGAUUUUUUCAGGAGCUGGAAGUCUUAGAAAAGCCUUGUAAAUGCCUAUAUUGUGGGCUUUUAACGUAUUUAAGGGACCACUUAAGACGAGAUUAGAUGGGCUCUUCUGGAUUUGUUCCUCAUUUGUCACAGGUGUCUUGUGAUUGAAAAUCAUGAGCGAAGUGAAAUUGCAUUGAAUUUCAAGGGAAUUUAGUAUGUAAAUCGUGCCUUAGAAACACAUCUGUUGUCUUUUCUGUGUUUGGUCGAUAUUAAUAAUGGCAAAAUUUUUGCCUAUCUAGUAUCUUCAAAUUGUAGUCUUUGUAACAACCAAAUAACCUUUUGUGGUCACUGUAAAAUUAAUAUUUGGUAGACAGAAUCCAUGUACCUUUGCUAAGGUUAGAAUGAAUAAUUUAUUGUAUUUUUAAUUUGAAUGUUUGUGCUUUUUAAAUGAGCCAAGACUAGAGGGGAAACUAUCACCUAAAAUCAGUUUGGAAAACAAGACCUAAAAAGGGAAGGGGAUGGGGAUUGUGGGGAGAGAGUGGGCGAGGUGCCUUUACUACAUGUGUGAUCUGAAAACCCUGCUUGGUUCUGAGCUGCGUCUAUUGAAUUGGUAAAGUAAUACCAAUGGCUUUUUAUCAUUUCCUUCUUCCCUUUAAGUUUCACUUGAAAUUUUAAAAAUCAUGGUUAUUUUUAUCGUUGGGAUCUUUCUGUCUUCUGGGUUCCAUUUUUUAAAUGUUUAAAAAUAUGUUGACAUGGUAGUUCAGUUCUUAACCAAUGACUUGGGGAUGAUGCAAACAAUUACUGUCGUUGGGAUUUAGAGUGUAUUAGUCACGCAUGUAUGGGGAAGUAGUCUCGGGUAUGCUGUUGUGAAAUUGAAACUGUAAAAGUAGAUGGUUGAAAGUACUGGUAUGUUGCUCUGUAUGGUAAGAACUAAUUCUGUUACGUCAUGUACAUAAUUACUAAUCACUUUUCUUCCCCUUUACAGCACAAAUAAAGUUUGAGUUCUAAACUCA